GACGAACGCUGGCGGCGUGCCUAAUACAUGCAAGUAGGACGCAGUUGCGAACGGGUGAGUAACGCGUAGGUAACUACCUAUUAGAGGGGGAUAACUAUUGGAAACGAUAGCUAAUACCGCAUACUAGUAGAUGGACCUGCGUUGUAUUAGCUAGUAGGUAGGGUAAUGGCCUACCUAGGCAACGAUACAUAGCCGACCCGGGAGGGUGAUCCGCCCCACAUGGACUUGGGCCCGGCCCAAGCUCCUUCGGGGAGCAACAGGUGGGGAACCUUGGCAAUGGGGGGAACCCUGACCGAGCAACACCGCGUGAGUGAAGAAGGUUUUCGGAUCGUAAAGCUCUGUUGUUAAGGAAGCGGUACUUAACCAGAAAGGGACGGCUAACUACGUGCCAGCAGCCGCGGUAAUAC
rnacentral:rRNA from 1 species